rnacentral:rRNA from 1 species
GAUGAACGCUGGCGGCGUGCCUAAUACAUGCAAGUCGAGCGAACAGACGAGGAGCUUGCUCCUCUGACGUUAGCGGCGGACGGGUGAGUAACACGUGGAUAACCUACCUAUAAGACUGGGAUAACUUCGGGAAACCGGAGCUAAUACCGGAUAAUAUAUUGAACCGCAUGGUUCAAUAGUGAAAGACGGUUUUGCUGUCACUUAUAGAUGGAUCCGCGCCGCAUUAGCUAGUUGGUAAGGUAACGGCUUACCAAGGCAACGAUGCGUAGCCGACCUGAGAGGGUGAUCGGCCACACUGGAACUGAGACACGGUCCAGACUCCUACGGGAGGCAGCAGUAGGGAAUCUUCCGCGACGGGCGAAAGCUUGACGGAGCAACGCCGCGUGAGUGAUGAAGGUCUUCGGAUCGUAAAACUCUGUUAUUAGGGAAGAACAAAUGUGUAAGUAACUAUGCACGUCUUGACGGUACCUAAUCAGAAAGCCACGGCUAACUACG